AAGUCGUAACAAGGUUUCCGUAGGUGAACCUGCGGAAGGAUCAUUAAAGAUGGGGUAUUUUACCGUGUGCAGUUGGGAUGGGAUUGGUGGGGGAUUGAUUGGUUUGUGGUAUGGUGGGGGGAUGGUUGGUUUGUGAUUGAUGUGUUAAUUUAUGUUACUUUGUAAUUUUUGUUAACUUGUUUGACAUGAUUUGUAAUUUAUGUUAUUUCGUCUUUCAUUAUAAUUCAAUCUGUCAAUAUCAACCUGUCAAUAUCAAUCUGCCAAUCAGUUCAUUUUUCCUAUCCAUUCCAUAUAAUAACUUUUGUCAAUUAUUUUACAAUAAAUAAUAAUUUGCGGCAAUGGAUCUCUAGGCUCUU
rnacentral:misc_RNA from 1 species